AUCUCGUUCUCAGAGUAUGCCUGUUCGCGGGUUAGGUAGUGGCACUACCUAACCCGCGAACAGGCAUACUCUGGGAACGAGAUUCUGAAAA